GCCGCUUAAGGCCUAGCCCCGAAAUCGCUUGUGUCCGUGCUCGCGACGUAGGGUCAUUAUCACGGAAUCGUCGGUGGUGGCUGCCUGUCAGCCACUGGCUAAAUCAAGCAGGCUGGUCCCGGGAUGCGCUUCGCACAUCGUGCUGUUCCGGGGCGAGAUGCAACGAUGAGCUAAGCAUGUAGUGCCGGGGAUGGAGUGCCUUCGGACGGCGGUUCGAUUCCGCCCACCUCCACCAU
rnacentral:misc_RNA from 1 species